GUUAGGAUUGUUUUCAUGUUUUUUUUUUCUUUCUUUUUUUUUUUGAAGCAGUUGAGACCUGUGAUGAAGACAUAAUUUAUGCUGAUCCCAUUUUUCUCAAAAGAAAAUGACAAAUCGCAACUGAGAACCACUGGAGGACUGCUUGAUCUGCUUGAUGAGCAGAAACUCACUCUGUGCCAAAACCAACUAACGGGAAACUGAAGGCUUCAGGAAAUGAAAGUGACACCAAUGCACAUUUCUUCUUGUUUGCAUGACAGUCCAUGAGCAAAUGCAUUUUUUAAAUCAUCAAACCUGCUUUACAACACCAUGGUGGCAUUUACACCAUCCAUCACUUUUGGUUCUUUUUCCAUUUU